UACGAAGGGGGCUAGCGUUGUUCGGAAUUACUGGGCGUAAAGCGCACGUAGGCGGAUAUUUAAGUCAGGGGUGAAAUCCCAGAGCUCAACUCUGGAACUGCCUUUGAUACUGGGUAUCUUGAGUAUGGAAGAGGUAAGUGGAAUUGCGAGUGUAGAGGUGAAAUUCGUAGAUAUUCGCAGGAACACCAGUGGCGAAGGCGACUUACUGGACACAUAUUGACGCUGAGGUGCGAAAGCGU
rnacentral:rRNA from 1 species